UUUUGAAUAUGGUUACAGACGUAUGGGGGGAAGUUGUGGCCCAAUGGUUAGAGAGUCGGACUUGUAACCCAAAGGUUGUGGGUUCG